AUUCCAGCUCCGCAGGUGUAUAUCUAUGCUGCUGCGGUUAAAAAGCUCGUAGUUGGAUCUGCGUGCUCGGAACUGGUUGGCUCACUGAGUUCAAACUGGUCUCCGGCGCUUUAUUGGCUGGUUUUCCCUUGAUGCUCUUAACCGGGUGUCUUGGGUGGCUAGCACGUUUACUUUGAAAAAAUUAGAGUGCUCAAUACAGGCGUAAAGCCUUGAAUAGUGGUGCAUGGAAUAAUAGAAUAGGACCUCGGCUCUAUUUUGUUGGUUUUCGGAACGCGAGGUAAUGAUUAAGAGGGACAGACGGGGGCAUUCGUAUUGCGACGUUAGAGGUGAAAUUCUUGGAUCGUCGCAAGACGGACGACUGCGAAAGCAUUUGCCAAGAAUGUUUUCAUUAAUCAAGAACGAAAGUUAGAGGUUCGAAGGCGAUCAGAUACCGCCCUAGUUCUAACCGUAAACGAUGCCAACUAGCGAUUCGCAGGCGUUAAACAACGACCUUGCGGGCAGCUUCCCGGAAACGAAAGUGUUCGGGUUCCGGGGGAAGUAUGGUUGCAAAGCUGAAACUUAAAGGAAUUGACGGAAGGGCACCACCAGGAGUGGAGCCUGCGGCUUAAUUUGACCCAACACGGGAAAACUCACCCGGCCCGGACACCGUAAGGAUUGACAGAUUGAGAGCUCUUUCUUGAUUCGGUGGGUGGUGGUGCAUGGCCGUUCUUAGUUGGUGGAGCGAUUUGUCUGGUUUAUUCCGAUAACGAACGAGACUCUGGCCUACUAAAUAGUGGGCGGAUUCUUUCUGUCCGCAACACUUCUUAGAGGGACAAGCGGUGUUCAGCCGCACGAGAUUGAGCAAUAACAGGUCUGUGUUGCCCUUAGAUGUCCGGGGCUGCACGCGCGCUACACUGAAGGAAUCAGCGUGCUUUCUGACCUUGCCCGAAAGGGCUGGGUAACCCGAUGAAAAUCCUUCGUGAUUGGGAUAGGGACUUGCAAUUAUUUCCCUUGAACGAGGAAUUCCCAGUAAGUGUGGGUCAUAAGCUCGCGUUGAUUACGUCCCUGCCCUUUGUACACACCGCCCGUCGCUGCCCGGAACUGAGCCGUUUCGAGAAGAACAGGGACCGUCGUUGAAGGGCCUUAACGGGCUUUUCUCUGAUAGAAACUGUU
rnacentral:rRNA from 1 species